CAGAGGAUAGUUUAAUAAAGAUACUAGUUUUGGGGGCUAGUGAUGGGGGUUUGUUUCCCUCUCUUCUGA
rnacentral:tRNA from 1 species